rnacentral:misc_RNA from 1 species
ACGUAAAGAGUCGUCGUUCGUCAACGACAACGACGUCGAUAAGCGUAUUAGGACGCCAGGCGUCGCUUAGUUCGUCUAGUAUAUACGUCUACUAAAAGUACCAACAUAUUAGUGACCUGUAUGUACGUAUAAAAUUGUGUAGUUACGCGAGAGUUAAUAUUAAAAAUAGUGUAUUAAUUGAGUAAAUUAAUAUAAUAUGCAAUAAUAAAUUCGGCAUAGUAUAAAUUAUAAAGUAAAAAAAAAAUCAGCUGUACUGGGAGAAAAAGUUACGUGAGAUAUCAUCCUCUCGAGAAGCUUGGUGACGGACACGCGGACGCCCUCAAGAACGAGAGUUAUCUGCGGGUGUAGUUAAGUGAAUGUGUAUGUGUAUGUGUAAGUAGAUGCAACAUUCAUCUAGGACACCAGUGUAAAUAUGACGCGUGGAUUACACCAGUUUACCUGAUACUCGAGGAUAUUUACUCCAAGUCCUCCUUGCUUCGAGAAAAAGGAUGCAUGCUGAAAAACCGUUUGUGGUGAAAAUCUCGCCGUAGCAUGCCAAGAAGCAACGAAAGGGGUGUUUAUGUGAUCCCACGCCGAUCGCAACAGUCUGUUAGGUCAAGUUGUAUAGAAACGUGGAAAAAAGGAAGACGGAGGAGAUAGUACGAGGGAAACCUUGUACUUAGCAGUAGAAGUAGUGGUAGGAGGACACGAGGUGAGGUUGACACGAGUGACCGAUGAGCACAGGUGAUGGCGUCGUGUCUACGUCGGGUCCCGGAAUUGAUAACGGGGCCCGCGCCACCUCGCUUGGUUCUACACCACAGCUGGGUGUUCAAACGGCGAGUAUUACCGCGCCGCAAGAUGGUCUUGGGUCCUCUAAAACCCAGGUAGCAGGAGGAGUUGGAGGUGGUGGUGGAGGAGGAGGCACCACUACCACAGCUCCGAAAAGACCUGCUAGAAGAGGUGGUAAACCACCACCUGAUCGACCUGUACGGGCAUUAUUUUGUUUGCCCCUCAAGAACCCAGUUAGAAAAAUGUGUAUUGAUGUUGUAGAAUGGAAACCCUUUGAGUGGCUCAUUCUUUUGACGAUCUUUGCUAAUUGUGUUGCUUUAGCAGUUUAUACACCUUAUCCAUGUGGUGAUUCUAAUCAAACCAAUAUGUAUUUAGAAAAAAUUGAAUACGUAUUUCUUGUCAUUUUUACGGUUGAGUGUGUUAUGAAAAUCAUUGCUUAUGGUUUCGCAUUGCAUCCUGGUGCAUACCUACGUAACGGUUGGAAUAUGUUGGAUUUUACUAUAGUUGUAAUUGGAAUGAUUAGCACAAUAUUAACAUUUCUUAUGAAAGAAGGUUUUGAUGUUAAGGCAUUGAGAGCUUUUCGAGUUUUACGACCACUUCGGCUGGUUUCUGGUGUUCCAAGUCUUCAAGUUGUACUUAAUUCCAUCCUAAAAGCCAUGGUGCCAUUGCUUCACAUUGCAUUACUAGUCAUUUUUGUAAUUAUCAUUUAUGCAAUCAUAGGACUUGAACUUUUUUCUGGAAAAAUGCAUAAAACUUGUAGAAAUAAUCUAACAGAUAAAAUAAUGGAUGAUCCACAUCCUUGUGGUGACAGUGGAUUUCAAUGUAGUUCACUUGGUGAUGAAUAUUACUGUAGUCGCCAAUAUUGGGAAGGUCCGAAUCAUGGAAUUACAAAUUUUGAUAAUUUUGGUUUGGCUAUGUUGACUGUCUUCCAAUGUAUAACUCUUGAAGGGUGGACUGACGUUUUGUAUGAUAUAGAAGAUGCUAUGGGCAGUACAUGGCAAUGGCUUUACUUUAUCUCGAUGGUUAUUCUCGGAGCUUUCUUUGUAAUGAAUUUAAUUCUCGGAGUCUUGUCUGGGGAAUUCUCAAAAGAGAGAGAAAAAGCCAAAGCUCGUGGUGAUUUUCAUAAGCUUAGAGAAAAACAGCAAAUUGAAGACGAUUUACGUGGAUAUUUAGAUUGGAUAACUCAAGCAGAAGUGAUUGAACCAGAAGCAGAUGAAAGACUACAAAUACAGGAUGGAAAACAAAAGCAACAAAAUGAAAUGGAAAGUACUGACAGGCUUGAAGGUGAUGAAGAGGGUAUGCAACAAGAAUCAAUGUGGAAGAGAAAAAAACGAAAUUUUGAUAGAGUUAACCGACGAAUGAGAAGAGCUUGCAGACAAGCUGUAAAGUCUCAAAUUUUUUAUUGGUUAAUCAUAGUUUUGGUAUUUUUAAACACUUUGAUAUUAGCGACUGAACAUUACAAACAACCAGACUGGCUUGAUCGAUUUCAAGAGGUCACAAAUAUGUUUUUUAUUGCCCUCUUCAGUAUGGAGAUGAUGUUAAAAAUGUACAGUUUAGGAUUCCAGGGAUAUUUUGUAUCAUUAUUCAAUCGAUUUGAUUGUUUCGUCGUCAUAGGUUCAAUUAGUGAAAUGAUUUUAACACGCACAGAAGUAAUGCCACCUUUAGGAGUUUCUGUACUUCGAUGUGUACGACUUUUAAGAGUUUUCAAAGUCACAAAAUACUGGAGAUCGCUCUCGAAUCUUGUAGCUUCCCUCUUGAAUUCGAUACAAUCAAUCGCUUCCUUAUUACUUUUACUCUUUCUCUUCAUCGUCAUUUUUGCUCUAUUAGGCAUGCAGGUUUUUGGUGGUAAAUUCAACUUUGAUGACCUGCAAGAUAAACCACGUAGUAACUUUGAUAGUUUCUGGCAGAGUUUACUUACAGUCUUUCAAAUAUUAACAGGCGAAGAUUGGAAUGCUGUAAUGUAUAUAGGCAUUCGGGCAUAUGGUGGAGUUUCUACCCAUGGCAUUCUCGCUUGCAUUUACUUUAUCAUUCUUUUUAUUUGCGGAAACUACAUUCUUCUUAAUGUCUUCUUGGCUAUUGCUGUAGAUAAUCUUGCCGAUGCAGAAUCACUGACUGCCAUUGAAAAGGAAGCCGAAGAAGAAGCUGAAAAAAAUAAAUCCCGAAGUGGAUCAUUAGUAAGAGAUGAAUUAAGUGGUGAGUGUGAAGAUGACAGAGGUGAUAUUACAGGGGGUGAAGACGAAGAAGAAGAAGAGGAAGGUGGCGGUACUGAUCUCGAUCAAGAUCCUAAUAAUGAAACAAUGGAUGAUUAUGAGGCAGCUUUAGAUACUGGAGGAUCGAAAGAUGGUGAUGAUGAUGACGACCGUCGUCAUGCUAAAGUUCGUAUUAAUAUUGAGUCUGAUGAUGAAAAUUUUGAGCAUGGUGAUGAAGAAGAUGAAGAUGAUCAUACAGAAAUAGAUGGUGAUAUGGGAACGGAAGAAGUAUCGGCUCGACCACGAAGAAUGUCUGAAUAUAAUAUGGCAACAGCCAAACAACCAAUUCCAGAAGGCUCUUCAUUUUUCUUAUGGUCUAACAAGAGUAGAUUUAGGAUUUUUUGUCACUGGUUAUGCAAUCAUAGUUGGUUUGGCAAUAUUAUAUUGAUGUGUAUCCUAAUUUCUUCCGGUAUGCUUGCAGCAGAAGAUCCUCUAAAUGCACAAUCUGAUCUUAAUCAAAUAUUAAAUUAUUUUGACUAUUUUUUUACAUCAGUAUUUACGAUUGAAAUUUGUUUAAAAAUGAUCUCAUAUGGAUUUGUAAUGCAUGACGGAGCUUUUUGCCGUUCAGCAUUCAAUCUUCUUGACCUUCUUGUUGUCUGUGUGUCACUUAUCUCGAUGGCUUGGAGAUCUGGGGCAAUUUCAUUUAUUAAAAUUCUUCGAGUUCUUCGUGUUUUAAGACCUCUUCGAGCCAUUAAUCGAGCAAAAGGACUUAAGCACGUAGUUCAGUGCGUCAUCGUAGCUGUAAAGACUAUCGGAAACAUUGUCCUCGUCACCAGCCUUCUGCAGUUCGUCUUUGCCGUAAUUGGCGUACAACUUUUUAAGUACGUAGUGAAAUGUGUGAUUGUCGCCAUUAAAACAAUUGGCAACAUUAUGUUGGUCACCUAUCUCCUACAGUUCAUGUUUGCUGUUAUUGGAGUACAGCUAUUUAAGGGUAAAUUUUUCAUGUGUAAUGAUGAAUCUAAAAUUACUGAAGCUGAAUGCCAAGGAACAUUUUUGGUAUUCGAAGAAGGACAUAUUACGAGACCAGUAGUAAAAGAAAGGGUAUGGAGAAAAAAUCGAUUCCAUUUUGAUGAUGUGGCUAAAGCUAUGCUAACUUUAUUUACUGUAUCAACAUUUGAAGGCUGGCCAGGACUUUUAUACGUCUCUAUUGAUUCAAAUCGAGAAAAUCACGGACCAAUUCAUAAUUUUCGACCAAUCGUGGCGGCUUAUUACAUUAUUUAUAUUAUUAUAAUAGCAUUCUUUAUGGUAAACAUCUUUGUAGGUUUUGUUAUUGUCACUUUUCAAAAUGAAGGUGAACAAGAGUACAAAAAUUGCGAAUUGGAUAAAAAUCAGCGUAAUUGUAUAGAAUUUGCUUUAAAAGCAAAACCAGUUAGGCGUUAUAUUCCUAAACAUCGUAUACAAUACAAAGUGUGGUGGUUUGUUACAUCUCAACCGUUUGAAUAUACAAUUUUUACUUUAAUUAUAAUAAAUACCAUCACGCUAGCAAUGAAAUUUUACAACCAGCCAGAUCCUUAUACUCAUGCUCUUGAUGUACUUAAUAUGAUAUUUACUGCCGUCUUUGCACUUGAAUUUGUUUUUAAACUUGCGGCGUUUCGAUUCAAGAAUUAUUUUGGAGAUGCCUGGAAUGUCUUUGACUUUAUCAUCGUCUUAGGAAGCUUCAUUGACAUAGUUUACUCCGAAGUGAAUGCACGACUGCAUAUCAAGGCGGGAGGUACUCCCCUCCCCAACGUAAAAAGUCCGGGCUCCAAUAUUAUAUCCAUCAAUUUCUUCAGACUUUUCCGUGUGAUGCGAUUAGUCAAGCUUUUAAGCAGAGGAGAAGGAAUUAGGACGUUACUGUGGACAUUUAUCAAGUCCUUUCAAGCCUUACCUUAUGUUGCUCUCCUAAUCGUGAUGUUAUUUUUUAUCUAUGCCGUGAUAGGCAUGCAAGUCUUUGGAAAAAUUGCUCUUGAUAAUGAUACUGAAAUUAAUCGGAACAAUAACUUUCAAACUUUUCCUCAAGCAGUUUUAAUUUUAUUUAGAUCAGCAACUGGAGAAUCAUGGCAAAAUAUCAUGCUUGAUUGUUCUAACCGUCCGGGUGAAGUUAAAUGUGAUCCGAAAAGUGAUGAUAAAGAUAGUUUAAAUGGCUGCGGAAAUGACAUUGCUUUUCCCUAUUUUAUAUCUUUUUACGUUCUUUGCUCAUUUUUAAUUAUUAAUCUUUUCGUCGCUGUAAUUAUGGAUAAUUUUGAUUAUCUUACACGUGACUGGUCGAUCUUAGGACCUCAUCAUCUUGAUGAAUUUAUUCGCCUCUGGUCUGAAUAUGAUCCUGAUGCAAAAGGUCGCAUAAAACAUUUAGAUGUGGUCACAUUAUUAAGAAAAAUAUCUCCGCCAUUAGGAUUUGGAAAAUUAUGUCCUCAUCGAGUAGCUUGUAAGAGAUUGGUUUCCAUGAAUAUGCCUCUUAACAGUGAUGGUACUGUACUGUUUAAUGCGACAUUAUUCGCAGUAGUAAGAACUUCAUUGCGUAUUAAAACAGAAGGUAAUAUAGAUGAGGCAAAUGCUUCUCUUCGUGCUGUAAUAAAGAAAAUAUGGAAAAGAACAAGUCCGAAAUUAUUAGAUCAAGUUGUUCCACCACCAGGAGUUGAUGAUGAAGUGACAGUUGGCAAGUUUUAUGCAACAUUUUUAAUUCAAGAUUAUUUCCGUCGUUUUAAAAAGCGAAAAGAACAGGAAAUGAAAGAAGGAGAUAAAGAGUGUCAUAAUACGGUGACACUUCAAGCUGGUUUAAGAACAUUACAUGAAGCUGGACCUGAAUUAAAAAGAGCAAUUUCGGGAAAUUUAGAAGAAUUAUUGGAUGAUAAUCCAGAACCAACGCACAGGAGAAAUCAUUCAUUAUUUGGCAGUGUUUGGUCUAGUAUGCGACGAGGUCACCAUAAUUUUCAUCGAGCUAAAUCAUUAAAAACAAAUAGCAAUAAUGUCCCUAAAAUAUCACCAUCGAACUCAAUUGAUUUUCUACCUUACGCAUCAGCACUACAUAGAACUGGUGGAAUUGCUGAUGGUAAUAAUCAAAUUACCGCACGGUCUCAUCAAGUAGUGCCAAAUAUUACAGGUGGUGUGGGUGACUCUAUUGCCAAUCAAAUAGGUCAAGAAUCCCGAUUAGCAAGUUUUGAAGAAAAUAUCCCAAUGAGACCAUUGGCAAUAUUUGCUAAUUCUGGAAUGCAACCAGGAAACUUUCAAAAUCCAUAUAAAGUUUUAGAUUUCUUGGGGCGGUGAAAGCAAUGGAACAGUUGGAGGAGGUAGAGGCUCUGAGCGAUUGGUUCACAGUUUACCUGGUAGUCCCGCUGAUCGCAAACCCAACUUUGAGGUCAUUGGUAGUGCUGAGAGUCUAGUAGGACGAGUUCUUGCAGAACAAGGUCUAGGCAAAUAUUGUGAUCCAGAUUUCGUGAGAUAUACAUCGAGAGAAAUGCAAGAAGCAUUAGAUAUGACAAGAGAGGAGAUGGAUCGCGCUGCUCAUCAGCUUUUACUUCAAGAACGUAGAG